rnacentral:rRNA from 1 species
GUGGCGGACGGGUGAGUAACACGUAGGUAACCUGCCCAGAAGCGGGGGACAACAUUUGGAAACAGAUGCUAAUACCGCAUAACARCGUUGUUCGCAUGAACAACGCUAAAAAGAUGGCUUCUCGCUAUCACUUCUGGAUGGACCUGCGGUGCAUUAGCUUGUUGGUGGGGUAAYGGCCUACCAAGGCGAUGAUGCAUAGCCGAGUUGAGAGACUGAUCGGCCACAAUGGGACUGAGACACGGCCCAUACUCCUACGGGAGGCAGCAGUAGGGAAUCUUCCACAAUGGGCGCAAGCCUGAUGGAGCAACACCGCGUGAGUGAAGAAGGGUUUCGGCUCGUAAAGCUCUGUUGUUAAAGAAGAACACGUAUGAGAGUAACUGUUCAUACGUUGACGGUAUUUAACCAGAAAGUCACGGCUAACUACGUGCCAGCAGCCGCGGUAAUACGUAGGUGGCAAGCGUUAUCCGGAUUUAUUGGGCGUAAAGAGAGUGCAGGCGGUUUUCUAAGUCUGAUGUGAAAGCCUUCGGCUUAACCGGAGAAGUGCAUCGGAAACUGGAUAACUUGAGUGCAGAAGAGGGUAGUGGAACUCCAUGUGUAGCGGUGGAAUGCGUAGAUAUAUGGAAGAACACCAGUGGCGAAGGCGGCUACCUGGUCUGCAACUGACGCUGAGACUCGAAAGCAUGGGUAGCGAACAGGAUUAGAUACCCUGGUAGUCCAUGCCGUAAACGAUGAGUGCUAGGUGUUGGAGGGUUUCCGCCCUUCAGUGCCGGAGCUAACGCAUUAAGCACUCCGCCUGGGGAGUACGACCGCAAGGUUGAAACUCAAAGGAAUUGACGGGGGCCCGCACAAGCGGUGGAGCAUGUGGUUUAAUUCGAAGCUACGCGAAGAACCUUACCAGGUCUUGACAUCUUGCGCCAACCCUAGAGAUAGGGCGUUUCCUUCGGGAACGCAAUGACAGGUGGUGCAUGGUCGUCGUCAGCUCGUGUCGUGAGAUGUUGGGUUAAGUCCCGCAACGAGCGCAACCCUUGUUACUAGUU